UAGUUCUUAUACUGCCUCUAAUGAGCCAU
rnacentral:piRNA from 1 species